rnacentral:rRNA from 1 species
GACGAACGCUGGCGGCGUGCUUAACACAUGCAAGUCGAGCGGUAAGGCUCCUUCGGGAGUACACGAGCGGCGAACGGGUGAGUAACACGUGAGUAAUCUGCCCUUCACUUCGGGAUAACCACCGGAAACGGUGGCUAAUACCGAAUACGACCAGUCUUCGCAUGAGGUGCUGGUGGAAAGUCUUUUCGGUGAAGGAUGUGCUCGCGGCCUAUCAGCUUGUUGGUGGGGUAAUGGCCUACCAAGGCUUCGACGGGUAGCCGGCCUGAGAGGGUGACCGGCCACACUGGGACUGAGACACGGCCCAGACUCCUACGGGAGGCAGCAGUGGGGAAUAUUGGACAAUGGGCGAAAGCCUGAUCCAGCAACGCCGCGUGAGGGAUGACGGCCUUCGGGUUGUAAACCUCUUUCAGUACCGACGAAGCGCCCUGUCGGGUGGUGACGGUAGGUACAGAAGAAGGACCGGCCAGCUACGUG